GGGGAUGCCAGGAUUCGACAGGGGGUCUGGAGCAAGGACUGCAAGCCGAGGUGCCAGUGGAUGUCUCGUUAAACAACUGGCAAUGGCAUAACUGCCGACACUAAUUACGCCCUCGCAGCUUAAUUAGCUAGCGACGCCUAUCCGACCCAUCGCCGGCGGGUUGGGGACGGUGACAUAAAGCCGGCAGUGCGGUUGGUCCGAGGGCCCAUAGGAUCGAUCUAAGACUUUGGGCUGGCCGGAGAGGACUUUGUCGGUAAAGGACUCGCCGGUGACACUAAAAUAUCGAAUAAGCUUGUAGAUGUACUUGUGCCCAGCUUUCUGGACGGGGCGUUCGAUUCGCCCCCAUCUCCACCA
rnacentral:tmRNA from 1 species